rnacentral:rRNA from 1 species
UACGAAGGGGGCUAGCGUUGCUCGGAAUCACUGGGCGUAAAGCGCGCGUAGGCGGCCCGGAAAGUCGGAUGUGAAAUCCCGGGGCUCAACCCCGGGCCUGCAUCCGAUACUCCCGGGCUGGAGGCAGGUAGGGGAGAUCGGAAUUCCUGGUGUAGCGGUGAAAUGCGCAGAUAUCAGGAGGAACACCGAUGGCGAAGGCAGGUCUCUGGGCUGACACUGACGCUCAUGCACGAAAGCGUGGGGAGCAAACAGG